UCUUGCGAGCCCUUACCCGGGGCUCGUGGAGGUGGGCUCUUUCCGGGCCCACCCCAUUGAUACGGCUACCCUACCCUAGCCUUCCGCUCGGCUCCCGCUCCUCUAAUAGCUUCCUCUGCUGCGCCGCCCACUCCCUUCUUCUUCUUCUUCUUCUUCUUCUUCAUGGCGGCGGCGAGUAUGAUGCUUCUUCCCCUUCCUCUGUUCUAUUGGGAUUUCAAUCUCCAACCAUUUCUUCUGGUAUGAUGCAAACUAGCCAAAUCAGACAUCAUGGGCUUCUGAUCCAUGCGCCGUCUCUCUCAUUUCGCUGCUUUUGGUGGAAACUCCUCGUUUUCGUAGUGAGUUUUUGCUGAGCGGACGGUGAGAAGACGUUGGUCGAAGCACUUGACUUCUCUGAUGAUAAAACUGCGAGAUCGAAGUUGCUGAAGUGCUUCCGUUUAUGGAAUCGGAUCUGAGGAAGAUCUCAUUGAAUGUGGUCGAUAAAGCUGACGAGACCUGCAAUUCUCAUUCGGUUGGUGCUUUUUGCCAUGCACAAUUCUCCUCCAAAAACGUUAAUGGUGAGGACAGUUAUCUCUAUAAAUUAUCAGGAAAUACUUGAGAUACAUAGCAAUAUAACUGUGCUGAAAAAACAUAUAAAGACAGAAUGAAAAACCCCCCAAAUUGUAGCUGUCGUCGAGAUCAGUGCUGCAGUAGCCGGCUAAGAUGCCACCUUUGUCGAACUGGAAGGGGAACUCGCUGGCCUCUAUCGCCGCCACCGACACUGGCUGGUGGGCCACAGCCUUGCGGAGCGAUACUUUGUCGUUGGCUGGCAUAUCCUCAUACCCACUGAUGGCGGCGGCGGAGGGGAGGAUUUCUGCUCGCUGCAGGUGCCUGGUACGGGCCGCCGUUGCUACACAUUGUCCAUGAGGCCGUUGUUCCAGCCAUAGUCCUUGCCGUGGACGGCGCAGUCCAUCGGUCCUGCUCGGAGAGGGAGAUCAACUCGCCGGAUGUGAGCACCUCCAUGGCUGACACUGCAGAGAACGCCCAGCCACAUCCUGUUUUGCUCGUGCAAACGCAGAUUCAGUUCGAUCAAUGAUAAUUAACUAAAUUGUGCCUCCAAAUCAUGCAUACCACACUGCCCCUGAUCUUCGACUGGAGUGACUGUUCCUUCGGAACACUAGUCGCCGUUACUUCACUAGAUGAAGAACUUGAAUGUCUUAUGGUAGUUACUCUGUUCCACACUAGUCAACUCAACCUCGCCCGAGAAUAAGAAUUUCUAAUAUAUGUCAUUUAUGAUAUCAGGCGAUGGGAUCUAUGACUCCGCUCCUUUAUAGUACGUUGAGACUUCUGUGUAAUUUUAGUAAUCAUAUUCAUUAUUGUUAAAUUGAAGAGGAAA